rnacentral:rRNA from 2 species
AUUUGGAGAGGAUGCUUCUGGCGCGGCGCCGUCCGAGUUCCUUGGAACAGGACGCCAUAGAGGGUGAGAGCCCCGUACGGACGUGCGCCUAGCCUCUGCGAAGCUCCUUCGACGAGUCGAGUAGUUUGGGAAUGCUGCUCAAAAUGGGAGGUAAAUUUCUUCUAAAGCUAAAUACCGGCCAGAGACCGAUAGCGCACAAGUAGAGUGAUCGAAAGAUGAAAAGCACUUUGAAAAGAGGGUUAAACAGUACGUGAAAUUGUUGAAAGGGAAGCGCCUGUGACCAGACUUGCGCCACGCGGAUCAACCGGCGUUCGCGCCGGGGCACGCCGCGUGGUGCAGGCCAGCAUCGGUUUUCCCAGGGGGACAAUGGUCGCGGGAACGUAGCUCCUCCGGGAGUGUUAUAGCCCGUGGCGUCAUGCCCCUGGGGGGACCGAGGACCGCGCUUCGGCAAGGAUGCUGGCGUAAUGGUCACCGGCGACCCGUCUUGAAACACGGACCAAGGAGUCAAGCAUUGGGGCGAGUGUCUGGGUGCCAAACCCGCACGCGAAAUGAAAGUAAACGCAGGUGAGAGCUUCGGCGCAUCACCGACCGAUCCUGAUGUCUUCGGAUGGAUUUGAGUAAGAGCCUUAACGCUUGGACCCGAAAGAUGGUGAACUAUGCCUGUAUAGGGUGAAGCCAGAGGAAACUCUGGUGGAGG